GAAAGUCGUAUGCUUUGGAAGAAGCUUGUACAGUUUGGGAAGGGGUUUUUUGAGAGAAAGGAAGAAUCUACUUCAAC
rnacentral:ncRNA from 1 species